CAGCUUGCUGCUUUGCUGACGAGUGGCGGACGGGUGAGUAAUGUCUGGGAAACUGCCUGAUGGAGGGGGAUAACUACUGGAAACGGUAGCUAAUACCGCAUAACGUCGCAAGACCAAAGAGGGGGACCUUCGGGCCUCUUGCCAUCGGAUGUGCCCAGAUGGGAUUAGCUUGUUGGUGGGGUAACGGCUCACCAAGGCGACGAUCCCUAGCUGGUCUGAGAGGAUGACCAGCCACACUGGAACUGAGACACGGUCCAGACUCCUACGGGAGGCAGCAGUGGGGAAUAUUGCACAAUGGGCGCAAGCCUGAUGCAGCCAUGCCGCGUGUAUGAAGAAGGCCUUCGGGUUGUAAAGUACUUUCAGCGGGGAGGAAGGGAGUAAAGUUAAUACCUUUGCUCAUUGACGUUACCCGCAGAAGAAGCACCGGCUAACUCCGUGCCAGCAGCCGCGGUAAUACGGAGGGUGCAAGCGUUAAUCGGAAUUACUGGGCGUAAAGCGCACGCAGGCGGUUUGUUAAGUCGGAUGUGAAAUCCCCGGGCUCAACCUGGGAACUGCAUCUGAUACUGGCAAGCUUGAGUCUCGUAGAGGGGGGUAGAAUUCCAGGUGUAGCGGUGAAAUGCGUAGAGAUCUGGAGGAAUACCGGUGGCGAAGGCGGCCCCCUGGACGAAGACUGACGCUCAGGUGCGAAAGCGUAGGGAGCAAACAGGAUUAGAUACCCUGGUAGUCCACGCCGUAAACGAUGUCGACUUGGA
rnacentral:rRNA from 1 species